CGUUAACCUUUCUUCUAAGUCCUAGCUGAGAUUUGUUCUUUUGUGGAAUAGCAUUUUGACUGAAGGAGCGAGAAAGCAGGAGAAAAUUCUCCUGUUUUUUUCCCCCAUGCUUGGGAUCUAAAAGUCUGGACGCAAUGCAGCCUAGCUCCGUUCUAGACUCCUCCACAGGAAGCCUCGGGAGCCCCCCUCUCAUGAUGACCCAGCUCCUAGGAUGCCGACUGUAUCCCGGAUGUCAUUUUUGCAGUAAGAGAGCUGCCGGAUGCAGUUGUUGACGGCAACGCUGCUCUUCCCAGGAGCGAGGUCCUCCUCUGCCAUUUCUACCCAUCCCAGAGAACGCACGGCGAAACACUGGAAGACAGAGCACAAAGUACACACUGACCUCGGCCCAGCUCCACCAGGUUACCAAAAUCCCCCGCAAGGCACGCGUAAUGCAUCUUCAAGCGUCGAAUUCAGCAGACAAAUCCCCUAAAUUGUUGGAAAAUUAAAG